CUCAGUGUGCCCGUGGAGAAGUUAAACAAAAAUUAUGCUAAGUGUUGAGGAUUCACCAUGUUCGAGGCACUGGAAUCCUGGGAAUCCUGUACCAGUUGUAAUAUUUUGAUUGAUCAGAAGAGGGCGCGUUGAUUCAACACAAUUGUAUACACACACUGGCAGCUUGCUUCAUUUAGCCUGGCAAAGGUCAAGCAUGCUUGAAGGAAACGUGGAGGAAUUACUAGCAAAGAAAAUCAUCCCGUCACUCAAAACUAAGCAUGGACAGCACGGGGAACACGGGGACAAAGACUGUGAGAGACUGCAAACUGAAAACAGUCUACAAAAUAAUAGAUACCAAAUAACUUGUGGUUUUGAGGAUUCCAUGAGAUGCAACAUAAAUUCUGAGGGAGACUGCUUGUCCUUGGAAGUCUCAUUGAAGCAAGUCAGAACUACCUGCUUCUCUUAAAUCUGGGCUCCCAGCAGAAAAUGAACCAUGAAUACACAGAACUAGACAGCUAAGGAUCUCGGUAGGUAUUCAGGAAGGCAUCCCAGAACACCUUCCAAGCUAGCGCUGGUUCAAUGUGAAAACACUGUACUUCCUGUUACAUUAUUAUGAGGCUUUGAGAUUAAAAAAUAUCAGAA